GAGUCAUUGGGCGCGAAAACCCAGAGGCGCAAUGAAAGUGAAGGGAGGGCUCCGCCCCUCCCCAGGGACGAUGGUCGGGCCCGCGAGGGACCGGCCCGCAGUCCCGAGGCGUCUGCCCGCCGAUCGCCGGUGGAGGCGCACUCAGAGCGUGCGCGCUGGGACCCGAAAGAUGGUGAACUAUGCCUGGCCAGGACGAAGCCAGGGGAAACCCUGGUGGAGGUCCGUAGCGAUUCUGACGUGCAAAUCGAUCGUUAGAGCUGGGUAUAGGGGCGAAAGACCAAUCGAACCUUCUAGUAGCUGGUUCCCGCCGAAGUUUCCCUCAGGAUAGCUGGCGUUCACGAGACCGCGAGUCUCAUCUGGUAAAGCGAAUGAUUAGAGGCCUUGGGGUCGAAACGACCUCAACCUAUUCUCAAACUUUAAAUGGAUGAGAACCCCGGCUUGCUUAAAGACACCCUUUUUUCGUGAAGCCGGGGCGCAGACGGAUCAGAGUGCCAAGUGGGCCAUUUUUG
rnacentral:rRNA from 1 species